CUGCUCCAGGAGGAGGCGGAGCCCUCCGGCGUCAUGGAGCAGCUAGUUCUAGGCCUGUGGGCUUUGCUGGUGUCGGUGGAGUUUUGUGGAGGCGCGACAGAGCCAGGUGUGAACCUGAGCUGCUACCAGUGCUUCAAAGUCUCCAGCCAGGCGUUGUGCAAGCCUGCCGCGUGCUACUCCACGGACCGGGUCUGUGUCU